CGCGGGGUGGAGCAGCUCGGUAGCUCGCUGGGCUCAUAACCCAGAGGUCAGAGGUUCAAAUCCUCUCCCCGCUACCA
rnacentral:tRNA from 6 species